rnacentral:lncRNA from 1 species
AUAUAUACACAAGGAUCCACCAUACUAUUACAAGUCCCCACCACCACCUUCACCAUCUCCUCCACCACCAUACUACUACAAAUCUCCCCCACCCCCUUCACCGUCUCCUCCACCACCAUACUACUACAAAUCUCCUCCUCCUCCAUCUCCUAUUCCCAAAACACCUUACUACUACAAAUCUCCCCCACCCCCUUCACCAUCUCCUCCACCACCAUACUACUACAAAUCUCCCCCACCCCCUUCACCGUCUCCUCCACCACCAUACUACUAUAAAUCUCCCCCACCACCGUCACCCUCUCCACCACCACCUUACUAUUACAAGUCUCCUCCCCCACCUUCACCAUCUCCUCCACCACCAUACUACUACAAAUCUCCUCCUCCUCCAUCUCCUAUUCCCCAUACACCUUACUAUUACAAAUCUCCCCCACCACCUUCACCAUCUCCUCCACCACCAUACUACUACAAAUCUCCUCCUCCUCCAUCUCCUAUUCCCCGUACACCUUACUAUUACAAAUCUCCCCCACCACCUUCACCAUCUCCUCCACCACCAUACUACUACAAAUCCCCUCCUCAUCCAUCUCCCAUUCCCCAUACACCUUACUAUUACACAUCUCCCCCACCACCUUCACCGUCUCCUCCACCACCAUAUUACUACAAAUCUCCUCCCCCUCCGUCUCCUAUUCCCCACACACCUUACUACUACAAGUCCCCACCACCACCAAAGGUCCUUCCACCACCAUACUAUUACAAUUCUCCUCCUCCACCUGUUGUGUAUCCUCACCCAUAUCCCUACCACCACUCACUUAUUGUGAGGGUAGUCGGUAAAGUCUACAGCUUCAGAUGUUAUGAUUGGAAUUAUCCUGCAAAGUCUCAUAACAAGAAACAUCUCAAAGGUACAUUACAUUUCUUAGGACCGGACCUCUUUAGAGUAAUGUGUUUAGAGAUAAUGCACAAUUUUUUAUUUUUUUAUCUCGUAAAGGUUUAUUUAUUAUAAUCACAAUUUCACUUUUGUCAAAAAGAAAAACAAUUUUACUAUAUAUAGUUUUAAUCAUUAACAUUUUGAUGUAAAAAGAAUACAAUUCUCUAUUACCUUUUUACUAUGAUAUAUAUACAAAGAUUAUUCAAAUCUAUAUAUCCAACCUAAUUUCCAUCCAAAAAAAUAGAAAACAUAGGGUGCUUUGAACGCCUGCAGCAUCACAUGAAUAAAUAAAAACAAUCAAUAAUCAACCUUGUUCUAAUUUAUUUUAGACAGCGAUUGUUAAGCAUACUGCUCUUUUAAUUACAUUUUUUUUAAAGAUGCUCUUUUAAUUAUAUUGUCCUAAUAUAAUAUGUGUCUUUAUAUAUUACUUGUCGUAAACUAAUUUUAUUAUGGGUGCAGGAGCUGUUGUUGAGGUGACAUGCAAAGCCGGGAGCAAAAUUGUCAAGGCUUAUGGAAAAACUAAGAACAAUGGAAAGUAUGCCAUCACAGUUAAGGACUUUGACUAUGUCAAAUAUGGUUCGACAGUGUGCAAGGCUGCCCUAUAUGCUCCACCUAAGGGUUCACCCUUCAACAUACCUACAAAGCUAAAUCAAGGAACAAAGUUGUACUUGAAAUCCAAAGACAAGUACGAGGUUGUGCUCAAGGCUAAGCCAUUUGCUUAUGCUUCAAAGAAACAUUUCAAAGAAUGUGAGAAGCCUAAGCCUUCACCAACUCCUUACUACUACAAAUCACCUCCACCUCCCUCACCAGUUUACAAAUACAACUCACCACCUCCACCGGUCCAUUAUUAUUCACCUCCAUACACCUACAAGUCACCUCCUCCCCCUGUGAAAGCGGCACCAACUCCUUACUACUACAAAUCACCUCCACCACCCGCACCGGUUUACAAGUACAACUCACCCCCUCCACCGGUCCAUUAUUAUUCACCACCAUAUACCUAUAAGUCACCUCCUCCCCCUGUGAAAGCGGCACCAACUCCUUACUACUACAAAUCACCUCCACCUCCCGCACCGGUUUACAAGUACAACUCCCCACCUCCACCGGUCCAUUAUUAUUCACCUCCAUAUACCUACAAGUCACCUCCUCCCCCUGUGAAAGUGGCACCAACUCCUUACUACUACAAAUCACCUCCACCACCCGCACCGGUUUACAAGUACAACUCACCACCUCCACCGGUCCAUUAUUAUUCUCCACCAUACUACUACAAGUCACCACCCCCACCAUCUCCAUCACCUCCUCCACCAUACUAUUUCAAAUACUAUUACAAGUCCCCACCUCCACCAUCACCAUCCCCUCCUCCACCUUAUUAUUACAAAUCUCCUCCUCCACCAAAACAAAUUUCACACCCUCCAUACUACUAUAAGUCACCACCCCCACCAUCACCAUCACCUCCUCCACCAUACUAUUAUAAGUCUCCACCUCCACCAUCACCAUCUCCCCCACCACCUUAUUAUUAUAAGUCACCACCCCCACCAUCCCCGUCCCCUCCUCCACCAUACUACUACAAGUCUCCACCUCCACCUAAAGAAAUAUCACAUCCUCCAUAUAACUAUAAGUCACCACCCCCACCAUCACCAUCCCCUCCCCCUCCAUACUAUUACAAAUCUCCUCCACCACCAUCACCAUCACCACCACCUCCCUACUAUUACAAAUCACCUCCACCACCAUCACCAUCACCUCCCCCUCCAUACUAUUACAAAUCUCCUCCACCACCAUCACCAUCACCACCACCUCCUUACUAUUACAAAUCACCUCCACCACCAUCCCCAUCACCACCACCUCCAUACUACUACAAAAGUCCCCCUCCACCAUCUCCAUCUCCUCCAUCCCCAUAUUACUACAAAUCUCCACCACCACCAUCACCAUCCCCACCCCCUCCCUACUAUUACAAAUCACCUCCACCUCCCUCACCAUCACCGCCACCUCCUUACUAUUACAAAUCACCUCCACCUCCCUCACCAUCACCGCCACCUCCUUACUAUUACAAAUCUCCCCCACCUCCAUCUCCAUCUCCACCACCUCCUUACCACUAUCAAAGUCCUCCUCCACCAUCUCCCAUUUCUCAUCCUCCCUACUACUACAAAUCCCCUCCACCACCAUCGCCGUCUCCUCCACCUCCUUACCACUAUGUGAGUCCUCCCCCACCAGUAAAGUCACCUCCACCACCAACUUAUAUCUAUGCUUCACCACCACCACCUCACUACAACUAAGCUCAAAGAGCAGAAGCUCCGUUCAUUAUAAAUCAUGUAAGUUUAUCAUCUUCAAUUUUCUGAAUGUGUGCGUGUGUAUUUGUUUUUUUGUUACAAGAUACUAACAAAAUUCUUUUCUUAUUUAUGUUCAGGUUUUAGUUUUCAUCUAGGAAUAAAGGCAAGCUCCAUUUGGAGUAAAGUGAAACUUCUAGCUUCGUGUCCGAAUUCGUUAAAUAAAUGUCGGGAUGUAUCGUCUUUGAGCUAUAAUAUUUCUGAUCCAGACAAUAUCUAUUUUGUUUCUUUGGUGGCAAUCUUGCACUUCCUGGUCUUAGUCUAUUCAAGUGACAGACAAAUCAAAAGGGAGAAGCGAGAUUAAUUUAUUUGUGAUCUCUUUGAUUUAUUUGUGCAUAUAUCAAUAUGAACGUGUAUGAUAUUUUUCUAUUUAUUGAAGAUUUUUUUACUGUAACCUGUUAUUGUGUUUGUCAAAAGGUGUUAAUAAAGAAUCACAUUCAAUUUCUGUUAAAUUAUCAGUAUUUGUUUCUUUCUAACAACUACCAUUCAUGCAAAUGUGGCUAUUAAAAAAAGCUCCAAUGACACAUAAAAAGCUUCCAAACAAUAUAUAAACAAAGAUGCAUUGUUUUCUGUUAAGAAGGGGACAGGGUUACGGUUACUUGUGUACCAAGUUAGUUAUCCAUGCUUUCUUGUUCAUAGGAUUUAUAUGGUGUAGUUGCACUUAGUUGCUAAAUGUAUGCAAGCUUUUCCUUUCUAUAAAUAAGCACACCUACUAUCAUUCUUCUCCACAUUCCUUUCUACUCUUCUAUCAUGAAUUGUUCAUCCACAUAAGAUGGUCACAGAGCACACCUAAUACUCUGCUACUGGUGUAUCAGUUCCUUUCCACCAGAAACUUAUGAUCUCUAAUUGAAAGAGAUCCUAAAGUUUUAAGAUUUCUACAAAAUACAUUAUUCUCAUUUUUGUACAAGUAUGAUACAAUUAUUCCCAAGUAUUAUUUAUUCUAAGGAAUAGAAUUUAGUUGUGGUUUCUCUAUUUAACCAACAUUUAUUUUUAAAUAACUAAAUUUAAAAAAAAAAUCCUGAAAUUAUUAAGUACAUACCUAACACAUUGUAAAAUUUUGUUCCCAAAGAAAAUAUUUUUGGCAAUAGAAUUUUCAGGAACUUCAUUCCUAGGAAUAUAAUUCUAUACUAAGAGAAGAGCUUAAGCAUUGAUACAUAACAAGACCAAUCCAUAUCCUAAUCACAAUCCUACUUUCACUAAAUACUUUCACUUAAGUGUGGUCUUGGAAAGGACAAAUGAAGAAAGACAUUCCAGAGGUAUGGUAAGGGACAAUAUCUGCAGUUAUGCACAUAUUGCAAGAUUGUGAGGAACUACCGGACUGAUUUGAUUCACCAAAAAAUUUGGAAUAAAUAUUUCAGCCCAGAACUCAGACAAUGACUGGAUUGGAACCUUUCAGCUUCUAAUAUCGGUACUGUCCAAGGAAAUAGUCAUUCUCUUUUUGGAGUAGCUGUGAAGGAUUUAUGGAAAGAUAGAACUAAGCUGGUCUUUUCUAGAAACACCGCGAUUGGAACUACUCUAUUUUGGCUUGUAGCCAAUCCGGCUAAGUUUAUUAACAAUGUAGUUUGUACUCAAGCUCACAGUCACGAUGUUGUCAGCAACAGUGGGCAUAUUGUUUAGGUAGCCUGGAAUUUUCCUCCCCAACACUUCUUCAAAGUGAAUAUGAUGGAUCUCUACGGGAUUAUGUUAGUUUCCAGGAUCGAACUCAGAACCUCCUGAUUAUAACUCCUUCAAUGUAUGUCCCUUACCCACGUGGGGCCUCGGCUGUAAUUGUUAACAUGGUAAAAUUUGGCUCUUCCAAUAAUGGUUUUAUCCAAACUCGAGGUUGUUUAUCGUCUCCAACAAUCAGAUUGGAGAAUACUAGUGGUUCAUGCAUUUGAACAAACCAACUGUUGUGCAGAUUUUCUAGUUGAUUUUGUUUUUCCUUUUUUGAGUAUUUUAUUAGCCAAUGAUAUAAGAGGUUGUAGCCUACCUCUUUUGAUUUCUUAAGACAAUCACUUUUGCAUUAGAAAAAAACGACCCUACAUAAAAUUAAUGAUUGAAUUAAGAUAUAACUUCAGUUUGAAAUAUUGUAAAAUUCUAUACCACCAAAAACUGAGAAUUUUAGAACCAUACAGGUUGGUGGAGUGGUCAUCCAGAUAACUUUAACAUAAUUAACAGUCCAAAAAGUAAAUAGCUUUAUCCUUUAUUUUCAAUCUGAUGUGAUUUACUCUUAUCUGUUAAACAUUAUAAUUAAGAAUCCAAAGGGAACACUCACCUAAUCUCUCUCUUUUUUCUAGCUUUUUCACUAAACCACUGUGUCUGUGGUUACCACAUUUCCUUAUGGAAUCAAUAUCCAAUUUAUGUUAAAAACCAUUUCUACAUUUUGUGUUAAAAAUGAUCUAAACAAAGAUGAUUUAUUUCUCUUAAAUUCAACAUAGAUCAUAUUUACAUGGUUCAAACUUUCUAUUACACGGCAUUGACUUAGUUGCUUCACAUGGGGACACAACUAAUGCAUAUAUUAUUUUAUAUGCUUAUAGUAAUUUUAACAAGUGGCAAUGGGGCAUAUGUUUUGUCAAAAAAACACAAAAAACAGGAGGCAUGUGCAACUGAAGUCACUGCCAGCUUGGCACUAAGAUAUAGUAAAAUAAUUGACAUUUGAAGAAAACAAAGACGUUGCUACAUUUCUAUUCAAACAAGCGACAUCAAUAUCAGACAAUGGUGCUACAUUUAAUAAUACUACAGCUAUCCCCAUAAGCACCUCUUAGAAAGAAAAAAAAAUAUCCAUUAAAUUAAUGUUGGAAGAGUUAGCAACAUGUCCUCUCCCAAAAAAACUCAUGUUUGAUUCCUAGAGUCGUCCAUUUCGAAAGAAGCUCAACCCUGAUAAUAAAAACCUAGAUGUUAUGCUGCAGACUUAAAGAUCAAUUUCAUAAUGGAUCCAAAGGGCCUAAGCUGUGUGGGAUACUUAAGGGGGUAUAUUGAGGCUAAGGGUCAAAGAUCUUAAUUAUGGUCGGUUAAAAAAAGAAGAAAAAAAAAUUAUCUCUAAAUAUAAAGUCAACAAUAUUUCAAAUUGCAAGAUACAUUUAUUUAUUUUUUAAAUAUGUAUAUACCUCUUAUUAAUACUUACUAAUUUGUUUUGAGUGAUAAAAAGUUACGAGUUAGACAGAUCAGCACAUAAAAAAAGUAUUUGAAAAACAUCUACCAACAAAAUAAACACAUUAAAAACAAUACUACUUUUUUACAAUACUGUAUGUGAAAAUGACAAAAUCUUGAAAAAGAUGGAGGUAACAUGUACUCUUUUUUUUUUAGAGGGGAGCAUGUACUUUUCCACUAACAAUGUUGAUAAGAAACAUAUAAAAUACUAUUAGAGAAAGAAAAAAAAUAAUAAAUAAAGAAAUAUAUAAAAUACUGAGGAAUGACUCACUCAUGUCAAAUUUUAGCAAGGGAGAAGUGAUAUCACAUCAUUUUAGAAGAGGAAUGAGAAUAGAUAGAUCUAAUUUUUCUAGUAAGUUUGAAUAGUAGAAUCAUACUUCUUUGUCUUUUGUGAAAAUUUCAUAUUAUGGGAUCUAUUACUAGAAUACAGGUGAUUUUAUUCUGGAAGAUUGACUUUUUAUUAAAAUAAAAUAAAAGUACAUUUUUUAUUUCCAAAUGCUUAGUUGUUCAUUUAUAAAUAUUACAUUAUCCAACAGCACCAAACCCUAUUUCAUAACGGUACUCUGCACGUUUCAUUCAUUUACUGGUGCCUUAGUUUUUUGUUACAAACAGACAUUGAUCAGAGGAACAAAUGUAGAGACAAAUUGAAGAUAAUAUAUCACAUAAUAUUGUAGACACACCUUCACAUACAAAUGGGGUAAAGUCCCUCAUAGUAGUAUUAGAAAUAACACUUAGAGUAAAAUUUUGCUAAAUUUAACAUGAAAAUAAGUGUAAUGUAUUUUAUAGGCAGCUAUACAUAAUUAUUAAUUAGAACAAUUUUUUACACUGUCAAACAAAAAUUGAACAAUUUUUUACUAGCUUUAUGCUUUAUGAUGUUUUGAUUCCAUGUGCACAUUUCAAUUUUAGAACUAUUCCUUUCUAUGUUACUGAAAUAAUUCUAUCAUUAGGCAUUGACAUUUCCAUUAUGCGUGCACGUUAAAGUGUUUUCCCAAACAGAGAAAUAUUAAGAAAGGUUAAACUUUUGACUUAAAGACACAACUAAAAUAAGAUCCAAGGAAAACCCCAUUGAUUAUUUCUUGCACAAAAUUAAAAACCCCAUUGAUUAUUUCUUGCACAAAAUUAAAAUGCUAAUAAUUUUUCCUGGUCUAUAUUUUUCUCCUUCCGGGAAAUGGCAACAUCACAUGUUCAUCUCAUAAUUGAGAAAACACAUGUCUGGGAAAAUAUCUUAAAGAAAAGGCAGUAAAGUAAUAAAAAGUGCACCAAAUAGAGAUUAACUAGUACUCUUUGCAUGUCAACUAAGUGGUAUAAUUAUGUAUAUCACAUUCUUAAUAUUGAUUAUCUUGAUUGCACGAUAAGCCCCUCAAAUUGCUCAAUCGAUGAUUGCUUGAUAAGCCCAUCAAAUUGCCCAAUCGAUCGAAUCGUAACUUUCGAUAGACAUUUUUUUUAAGAAAACCCAAUUGGAUCAUAACUCCCCAUAGUCAUUUAUUUGAAAUUGUGAGCAAUUUGAUAACUUAUUGAGCAAUCACCAUUGAUUUUAGUCUCAAUUUAUCCUAAUGUUGUAACCCUGGAAUAAUGGAACAGUGAGUAAAUUUGGUUUCUCCGUCUCAAAAUAAGUGUCACAAUUUAACCAUGUGCACUACUCAUCAAAUCUACUUUGACAACAUUUUUUUUACUAAUAUAUAAAGACAAUGUUAGUACAUUACAUGUUCGAUUUGUCUUAGUUAAUGUUUUUAAAAUAUCGACUUUAUUAUAAUUUUUCUUAAUAGACAAUCAAAAAUAUCAAUUGUCAAAAUUGUGUAUUGAUAUGUAUGAAAAUCAAACUAUAACACUUACUUUGAGACGAAGAGAAUAACUAUUAAAAACUAAUGUUCAAAUAGAAAGAAAAGAAAACAAAGAUUCCAUACAAAGCUUGCAAAAUAGCUACAAUCAUAACCUAGAACAAAAAUCAUGACCACACACUAUAUCCAUUUUCCUUUUCCUAAAAAGCAAUUGAAGAUAAAAAAAAAAAAAAUAAUAAAUAAAAAAAAAAAAAAAAAAAAAAAAAANACCACCAUACUACUACAAAUCCCCACCUCCACCAUCGCCUUCUCCUCCACCACCAUACUACUACAAAUCCCCACCUCCACCAUCGCCUUCUCCUCCACCACCAUACUACUACAAAUCCCCACCUCCACCAUCGCCUUCUCCUCCACCACCAUACUACUACAAAUCCCCACCUCCACCAUCGCCUUCUCCUCCACCACCAUACUACUACAAAUCCCCACCUCCACCAUCGCCUUCUCCUCCACCACCAUACUACUACAAAUCCCCACCUCCACCAUCGCCUUCUCCUCCACCACCAUACUACUACAAAUCCCCACCUCCACCAUCGCCUUCUCCUCCACCACCAUACUACUACAAAUCCCCACCUCCACCAUCGCCUUCUCCUCCACCACCAUACUACUACAAAUCCCCACCUCCACCAUCGCCUUCUCCUCCACCACCAUACUACUACAAAUCCCCACCUCCACCAUCGCCUUCUCCUCCACCACCAUACUACUACAAAUCCCCACCUCCACCAUCGCCUUCUCCUCCACCACCAUACUACUACAAAUCCCCACCUCCACCAUCGCCUUCUCCUCCACCACCAUACUACUACAAAUCCCCACCUCCACCAUCGCCUUCUCCUCCACCACCAUACUACUACAAAUCCCCACCUCCACCAUCGCCUUCUCCUCCACCACCAUACUACUACAAAUCCCCACCUCCACCAUCGCCUUCUCCUCCACCACCAUACUACUACAAAUCCCCACCUCCACCAUCGCCUUCUCCUCCACCACCAUACUACUACAAAUCCCCACCUCCACCAUCGCCUUCUCCUCCACCACCAUACUACUACAAAUCCCCACCUCCACCAUCGCCUUCUCCUCCACCACCAUACUACUACAAAUCCCCACCUCCACCAUCGCCUUCUCCUCCACCACCAUACUACUACAAAUCCCCACCUCCACCAUCGCCUUCUCCUCCACCACCAUACUACUACAAAUCCCCACCUCCACCAUCGCCUUCUCCUCCACCACCAUACUACUACAAAUCCCCACCUCCACCAUCGCCUUCUCCUCCACCACCAUACUACUACAAAUCCCCACCUCCACCAUCGCCUUCUCCUCCACCACCAUACUACUACAAAUCCCCACCUCCACCAUCGCCUUCUCCUCCACCACCAUACUACUACAAAUCCCCACCUCCACCAUCGCCUUCUCCUCCACCACCAUACUACUACAAAUCCCCACCUCCACCAUCGCCUUCUCCUCCACCACCAUACUACUACAAAUCCCCACCUCCACCAUCGCCUUCUCCUCCACCACCAUACUACUACAAAUCCCCACCUCCACCAUCGCCUUCUCCUCCACCACCAUACUACUACAAAUCCCCACCUCCACCAUCGCCUUCUCCUCCCCCACCUUACUAUUACAAAUCCCCACCGCCACCUUCACCAUCUCCCCCACCACCCUACUACUAUAAAUCACCCCCACCACCUUCACCAUCUCCUCCACCACCAUACUACUACAAAUCACCCCCACCGCCAUAUGAACACAAGACUAAACCAUACUAUUACAAGUCUCCUCCACCACCAUAUGAACACAAGACUAAACCAUACUAUUACAAGUCCCCACCACCACCUUCACCAUCUCCUCCACCACCAUACUAUUACAAGUCCCCACCACCACCUUCACCGUCUCCACCCCCACCAUACUACUACAAAUCACCUCCUCCUCCAUCACCUAUUCCCCAUACACCUUACUACUACAAGUCCCCACCACCACCUAAGGUUCUUCCACCACCAUACUAUUACAACUCUCCUCCUCCACCUGUUGUGUAUCAUCACCCUCAUCCCUACCACCAUGCAUUGAUCGUGAAGGUAGUGGGUAACGUCUACAGCUUCAGAUGUUAUGACUGGGAGUAUCCUGAAAAGUCUCAUAACAAGAAACACCUCAAAGGUACAUCACAUUACAUUUCUCAAUUCUUUCAUUUUUAUAGAUUUUAUGUACAUCACUAUUGGCUCGUAGUUUCUCAAUACCAUUACAACUAAACUGCAAGUUUCAGUAAUGAGAUUCAUAUAGACAUGUUUUUAUUAACAUCUUUGUUUCUUAGAAAUUAUACAAACACUUAAUUUAGGUUUCUCCAUGUCCAAUAAAGUAAACAAUUGAUAUAUCAAAUUAACAUAUAUGAUAUAUCAUUUACCUCAUUAAAAUUUAAUAAUCCUGCCUAAUAUAAAGAUUCGGUUUGAAAAUGAUAGUUUAGUGAGCUUCUUUAUAAUAACACUCUCCAAUAUAUUAUGUUUUAAAAACAAUUAUAUUUCUAUUUGUCUAAAUUCAAAUUUGUUAUGGGACAGGUGCUGUUGUUGAAGUGACAUGCAAAGCCGGGAGCAAAAUCAUCAAGGCUUACGGUAAAACUAAGAUCAAUGGAAAGUAUGCCAUCACAGUUAAGGACUUUGACUAUGUCAAAUAUGGUUCAACAGUGUGCAAGGCUGCCCUUUAUGCUCCACCUAAGGGUUCACCCUUCAACAUACCUACAAAGCUAAACCAAGGAACAAACUUGUACUUGAAAUCCAAAGACAAGUACGAGGUUGUGCUCAAGGCUAAGCCAUUUGCUUAUGCUUCAAAGAAACAUUUCAAAGAAUGUGAGAAGUCCAAGCCUUCACCAACUCCUUACUACUACAAAUCACCUCCACCUCCCUCACCAGUUUACAAGUAUAACUCACCACCUCCACCCGUCCAUUAUUACUCACCUCCAUAUUACUACAAGUCACCUCCUCCCCCCGUGAAAGCGGCACCAACUCCUUACUACUACAAAUCACCUCCACCUCCCGCACCAGUUUACAAGUACAACUCCCCACCUCCGCCAGUCCAUUACUAUUCACCUCCAUACACCUAUAAGUCACCUCCUCCUCCUGUGAAAGCAGCACCAACUCCUUACUACUACAAAUCACCUCCACCUCCCGCACCGGUUUACAAGUACAACUCACCACCUCCACCGGUCCAUUAUUAUUCUCCACCAUACUACUACAAGUCACCACCCCCACCAUCUCCAUCACCUCCUCCACCAUACUAUUUCAAAUACUAUUACAAGUCCCCACCUCCACCAUCACCAUCCCCUCCUCCACCUUAUUAUUACAAAUCUCCUCCUCCACCAAAACAAAUUUCACACCCUCCAUACUACUAUAAGUCACCACCCCCACCAUCACCAUCACCUCCUCCACCAUACUAUUAUAAGUCUCCACCUCCACCAUCACCAUCUCCCCCACCACCUUAUUAUUAUAAGUCACCACCCCCACCAUCCCCGUCCCCUCCUCCACCAUACUACUACAAGUCUCCACCUCCACCUAAAGAAAUAUCACAUCCUCCAUAUAACUAUAAGUCACCACCCCCACCAUCACCAUCCCCUCCCCCUCCAUACUAUUACAAAUCUCCUCCACCACCAUCACCAUCACCACCACCUCCCUACUAUUACAAAUCACCUCCACCACCAUCACCAUCACCUCCCCCUCCAUACUAUUACAAAUCUCCUCCACCACCAUCACCAUCACCACCACCUCCUUACUAUUACAAAUCACCUCCACCACCAUCCCCAUCACCACCACCUCCAUACUACUACAAAAGUCCCCCUCCACCAUCUCCAUCUCCUCCAUCCCCAUAUUACUACAAAUCUCCACCACCACCAUCACCAUCCCCACCCCCUCCCUACUAUUACAAAUCACCUCCACCUCCCUCACCAUCACCGCCACCUCCUUACUAUUACAAAUCUCCCCCACCUCCAUCUCCAUCUCCACCACCUCCUUAUCACUAUCAAAGUCCUCCUCCCCCAUCUCCCAUUUCUCAUCCUCCCAACUACUACAAAUCCCCUCCACCACCAUCGCCAUCUCCUCCACCUCCAUACCAUUACGUGAGUCCUCCCCCACCAGUAAAGUCACCUCCACCACCAGCUUACAUCUAUGCUUCUCCACCACCACCAAUCUACAACUAGCCUCACAACACCAAAUCACCAUUGGUGAUAAAUUAUGUAAGUUUACCAUUAUUGCAAUCAUAACACUUGCAUCUUUUCCCACCCAUACACACACAUAUCACAUGUUUAAAUUUUAUGUACUAAUCAACAAAAACUCUUAUUUGUUUUCAGGUUCUAGUUUUCAUCAAGGAAUAAAGUCGUCCAUUUGGAGCAAAGUGAAACAACUAGCUCUCUGUCCAAAUUAUUUGAUGGCCAUCUUGCACUUCCUAAUCUUAUUGUGUUCAAGUGACUGGCUAAUCAAAAUGUGGAAGCGAGAUUAAUUUAUUUAUUAUCUCUUUGAUUUAUAUGUGCAUAGAUUGAUAUUUCCCUGUAUGAUAACUUUAUUUUUAUUGAGGAUUUUUUGUAUUGUACCCUGUUGUGUUUGUUAAAAUAAGUAUUAUCAAUGAAGAAUUACCUUCAAUUUCUUUCCACCUAAUUAGUUCUUGUUUCUUUUAAACAACUAUCAAGCAUGUCAGCAAGGCAAAGCAUACCACUACCACCAUAUCACCAUAAAAUGCAUCAUUAUUCAUUGCAUAUGAGAUAAAUAUAUGCAAACUAUAUCUAAUUAUUAAGAGGGGGAAAAAACUAAUGUACAGAAAAUGUACCUCAAGGCUUCAGGAUAGGUGUUAGAAACCCAAGCUUUUAAUAGCUCUCUCCAAGAAUCCUCGUUUCUACAACUUAAGUUCCUAUAUUAAUCAAUUAUAAUAUAUGAGAAACUUAUGUUGUCGACCAACAAUACAGGUGACUCAAAAAAAUAUUAUAUUUUAAAAGUCAAACCUUGAGCUAUACACAUGUAAGCAUCAUCAAUAUAAGUUUCACCAUUGUUCAUGUGUAUUAUUCCAUAAAUUUUGGCUCAGUUGAGGUUACUACACUGGUUUUCUUCCUAUUGUAUCAUAUAUUUAAAUACUAUGGUGCGUUUGGAUAAACAGCUUAUGUCACAAGCACUUAUCAUGAUAAGCGCUUUUGUAUAAACUUGCAUGAGUUAUUUUCAUAUCAAAAGAUAAACAAGAACAUUAAAUUGUUUUUGUAUAUUACUUAAGUUGUUUUCAUAAGCUAUGUUGAAGAACUAAUGAAAAUUAGCUGAAAAAAGCUUAUGCUGUUUUCAUGAAUUCUCCCUAACAGUCUCACAAUAUUUAUGUCAGUAUAUAAUCAAAUAAGUCAAUCCAAACAGGCCCCACGUCUUCUAUAUUAGACCAUAUGACAAUUUCUUUUCGGUUUAUUCUCAUUAAAAGUUAAAAAUGGUGUAUUUGAAUCCUAUAAUUCUUUGUCAUACAAGUGCAUUCAAAUACAAUUUGAAGCCAUGGUGAAAGUGUUUAAUUUGCAGAGCUCACCAACAUAAUCUAACGUAUAUUUGGAUUGACUUAUUUGAACUUAUCUACUAGCACAAAUACUUGUGAGAUUGUUUACGAAAGUUUAUGGAAAAAACUUACAACACACACAUAAGUUGUUUUCAGCUUAUUUCCAUAAACUCUUCAAAAUAGCUUAUGAAACAACUUAUAUGAUAAGAGCUUAUUCUAUAAGCGCUUAAUUAAGUUUUAAUCCAUUCUUCUUCUACCUUCAUCUUCAGUUAACAAAACGAAUACAAUUUCUGAAAAUUCAAAGUUCAAACACCAAAAAAUACCUAAAAUGAAAAAUUGUUGAAUGAAAGCGCAAAUAGAACCUGGCAAUGCGUUCGAGAAGCACGUGGAGGAGGUGGCGUGGCAGAAGAAUGUGUGGAUUUCAUCGGAGAAUUUCAGUUCUGCUCGCGCCAUUUAAGAAAUUUUGUAAACUUAAAGUUUAGUUUAAGUUUACCCCUCUUUUUUUUUCAUUUUAAAGGAGUUUACCCUACAAAUUUUUGUAUGUUUUUGCCACGUUUACAAAUGAUUUAAUAUGUUUUUAUCCUAUAUAUAUUUAGGGAUGUAAAUGGAUAUUAUGAUGCGGAUAGUGUAAUAUUUGUGUCUGUUCCAUUGGAUAAAUAUGAAAUCUGUACCAUAUUCAUAUCGUACGGAUAUCUGUUUAGCGGGUAAUCCACAGAUUUUGAGAUAUUUGAGUGUUUAUAGAUAUAUUCAUUGAUAACAUUUAUAAAAAUAAAAUAAAAAAUUUGUUUAAUUCUUUUUAGAGACAAAGGUUCUUCAUAUGCAUUUUCUUUUCUUUUUAACAAAACAUAAUAUUCAUACAUUAUAAUAACAACAAAGAUCAUUGACUCAACAAAAACAUAAAUAAAGUUGCUUACAUUUAAUAAAAAUAAAGUUAUUUGAUUUAACAAAAACAAAGCUCUUGCAUCAACAAUCCCAACCACUUUCACUUCCUUUUAAAAGAGUGUAAUAACAAAUAACACUCACAAUACAUAAGGUUUUUUUUUAGGAAGUUGAAUGAUAUUAAGGUUAUUUAUGUAAUUUACUCGGUUUAAUAGUCGGUAUGGAUAUCCACGGGUGUGGAUACCGUUAAAUCCGCAUCCAUAUCCAUUAAUUAGCAGGUAGUUAAAAAAUUCAUUUAUUUUAUCCAUUGAUAUCCAUUAAGGUAUCCGCUCCGUGCCCGUGACGGAUUAUAUCCGCGGAUAUUCACGGGUGCGAAUUUUUUUGUCAUCCCUAUAUAUAUAUAUUAGUCUUAAACUUGACUAUUUUUUAUUAUCAUUUGGUGCUAUAAUUAAAAAAAAAAAAAAAAUAUUGUUCGUCUGAGCCAUUUAGCUACAGGCUAUUACUUUUCUCAUUCUACAUGUUUCUCGCUUGUCCUAUUUUUUUUUUAAUACUUUUUGCUCGAAUUCUAAAAUCUAAACUCCUAUAGGGAUUUUUGGAUUCUAUAAUCCAAAACACGUUGAAACCCAAAAAUAAAAUAAAAAACUAUGUAAUUGAAAUCAAAGAUCUCUACUGCUAAUGCACGUUUUCCACAAAAACUACAAAGUAAUUUCAAAGUAAUUUCACAAAAACUAUCGUAUGAAUAGACAGCAAUGAGCAUGAUAUCAUAAAUAACUCAAAACUUUAUAAAAAUAAAAAUAAAAAAAUGAAUAAGAAGAUGUGAAGAAUGAAUGUAAACGUUGGAGGAUACAAAGCUAUUUAUAGACAUAAAAUGUUCCUAGACUCUAAAGUGGGUCAAAGAAAACAUGAAUAACAUUUACAACUUAAUUAACACAUCACAGAUCAUUCAAACCUUUGGUGUAACAUCAUCGUAUGUAGUCUGGCACAGUUUGGAUUAUACAAUCUGAACAUUUCAUAAGCAGUUUGGAUUAUAUAAUUUGAACUAUCCCAGACUGUGUUUCAGCUUGAUGUUUGGAGGGUUUUGUAUGGUGGAUAACACAAAAAAAUGACAUAAUUCAACAACGUAAAAAAUAUAAUAAGAUAAGUGAUGAUGAAAGGGAAGCCGCACCAAGAGGUGUUUUUGAAUUCGAUCCAGUUGUCCUAUCAACUGACAUAUAUUUCUAUUGGCAUGGCAGCAAGAUCAAGUUUCAAAACGACCUUUUUGUGUUCAUAUCCGCAAAAUAAUGAUGAAAGGCAAGGUAUUCCAAGAAGUGUUUUUUAACUUGAUCUCGCUACCUUGUCAACUAACAUAUUUCUAUAGACAGUGCAGCAAGAUCAAAUUUAUAACAACCUCUAGGUGUUCAUAUCCGCUAAGUAAUUUUUCGUAGUUCUUUAUUGUGAUCUACAAAAAAAAAAAAAAAAAAGAUCUAUUUAUAUAAGUUUAUGUGCGUCGCGAACCAGAUAAAUUUUCGAUGCAUUGUGGACCAAAAAAAAAUUCUAAUUCGGACUAAACAAGAUGAAUUUUCCUUCACCCUAGAAAGUAAAAGUUUUGACAAACACAAGACUGAUUAUACAUUAAAUACAACAAUCAGCCAAACUAAACAUAUUAGAUCACAAAUCUUUCAAACUAACUUCUUCAUUGGAUUCCUCCAAGAGAGCCUUGAUUUAUUUGUAUGUUCUAGGCCGAAUCAAUUUUUUUUAAUAUCUUUGAAAGGGCCCGACCAAGAAAACAUCCAACUCAAUUGGUCAUUUAAUACCGUACUGACCAAAUAUUAAAACAUUAUUCUCUUAUCGCAUUGUUCCUGAGUUUAAUCUAGGUAAACUAGAUGCUUUCAUCUUAGCCAAUCGAUGGACUUUGAUGCUCAACAUUGUCCAUCCUUCUUGUGUCUGUGUUGUUGAGUCGACGGUUGAUUUAGUCCAGCUAAUAUUGGACUUUCCCCCAUUGUAGUAAACUACAGUUAGUUUGGUGUCAGAUCAAUGAUUGAAGUGUUCAUGAUUAUUUGGUGUGGUUUAUAGCAAAUGAAAACAAGCACACCAAUUUAUAGAAGUUUAUGUGCGCCGCGGACUACAAUAACUAUUGGUGCAAUGAAGACCAUAGAAAAAGCAUGUACUUGGCUGAUUUGGAUUAUAUAAUUUACAUUGUCCCUCACCCUACAAAGUACAAAUUUCAACACAAUAUUGAACCAAUUCGGAUUAUAGAAUCCAAUCAUUUAUGAGAUAAUUUCGGAUUAUAUAAUUAAAACUAGUUCACAAUGUGAACCGCAGCUUGGUCAGCAAGACUAACUCAUUAAAAAUGUUUUUUAAGUUGGUGAACGACGCUUGACUGGUCAGCAAGACUUGAAAACAAUUUUCGUACCAUGCAUUAAUGGACCAUUACCCUCUAUGAAAUGUACUUCACAAAUUCUCCUUCCGAAUACCCACUAAUACAUCACAAAUUCUUAUUUCAUCUCACAUUCUCUCGUUCUUUUUACUUCUACAAUGUGCUUCCAUAGUUUGUGUUUCAUACAAAAAUGUUACUCUAAUAUUUUAUGGAUUGUAUGAAUGGUCAAAAGGCAAAAAUUGGCACCAUCUGUUUGGAUGUAAGGUUGAUCAUCAAAGUCUAAUCCACUAAGAGAGGAAACAAACCUUACCCCAACCUCAUUCCCCAUUCAUCUUCUUGCACCGCAUGUUUAAAUGAUACUCCCUCCGGUCCUAUUUAUAAGAGAAAGUUAGGUCAACAAAAGUUGAUGUAUCUGAACUGAAUUUUUAACCGGAUACAUCAACUUUUGUUGACCCAAAUUUCUCUUAUAAAUAGGACCGGAGGGAGUAUUUGUACAACCAUUUUGGUACAACUUUUGUACAACUUUCUCUCUCAUACUCACAUUAUGUUUUUAUUCUCUCUCUUACUUUUUUUCUCUCCAUUGUGGUUGACCAAUAAGAAGGGAGAAUAUCAAGGUUGUCACAAAAAUUGUAACAAAAGAGUUGUUCAAAUAUCAUUACUCUUAUCAUUAUGUGUUAAAUAAUUUUGUGUAAUAAGCUUCAAUGACAAUGUAAAUAUACAAUAAAAGAUAUAAAUUAUUCAUAAAAUGAAAAUUUUAUUCAUUUAUCUUUUUAUAUUUUUGUCUCUUUUAGUUUCAGUCAUUUUCAAUUAUGCAUUCUUAAUAUUAUGUCAAUGUUGAUCAAUAAUUAUUGGCAAAAGAAGUUUUCAUGUUAUAGAAUAUGAAAAUCCCUGGUACCAAAAAAAAAAAAAAUCUGAAAAUCCCUCUAUAGGAUUUCAGAUUUUAGAAUCCGACCAAAUGGUAUUUUGAAGAGAGAAAAAUAGUGUGUCUAAGUAACUCAUGUUGAGAAAAGUAAUAGCCUUAAUUAUGUCUCCGAUAAACAUUUUAUUCCCUUCCGUUAAUCAGUUAAUCCCAAAUGUCUAAGGUGAACCAAUAUUAUAGGUGGUCUACCAUAAACCUCAUAACAAUUUUAAGGUCAAAUACCACUUUUGGUCAUUUUAGUUUGACAGAAUUCUCAAGUUAGUCAUUUAAGUUUCGAAAGUUUCAAUUAGGUCCUUUUAGUUUGACAGAAUUCCCAAGUUAAUCCUUUAAGUCAUAAAAUUCAGGGGAGCAAAGUAGAUACUCCAGUUUUCAGAGGCGGAGACAUAGUCAUGUCAAAAGCAUCCCACAUCCUAUUACCACCUACUUGAACUCAUCAAGCUUGGUAUGGACCAUUCACAGUAACAUGUGUAUGUAGUCUCGUGGAGAUCUGGGACAAUAUCAAAUGGCAUGCUAAGGUGAAUCGACACAAACUGAAGCAUGUUAAAGAUUGCAUCCGGAAAAUGAAAGUUGAAGAAGAUGAACCUGCUUUGAAGAGGUUCAAGGGCACAACAUAGACUUAUUCUCCAUGUUCAAGAUGUAAAACACGCAUUGAACGAGAGACAACCCAUUAAUUUAUUUUCUCCGUUAUUUGUCUUGUGUCAUUUUUGCUCGAAUUUUUUGCCGUCAAUUCUUUAUGAAUUAUCAGUCAUAUUAUAUUACACACUAGACAAUUUUUUUGGUACCUUGAGCCUUUUCAAUCCGCCCUUAUCAUCAUUAUAUCCUUUGCUAAAUCCCUUUGAGCUUCCAUGCAUUAUUUCUUUUGUUUUUUUUAUUAAGUAACAAAUCAUGUCACAAGUUUGAACUUUUAAUGCCAUCUAUUUGAUUUCUUUUAUAGUUAGAUAGAAUAUUUUUAAGAACUUGGUAUGAUUUGAAUAUAUGUUAGGGUUAUAAGGGAGAAAUGUAAUGGCAAAGAGGAAGAGCAAGAAAAGAGAUGAAAGAUGAAGGGACAUUAGGCAGACUCAAUCACGGUAGUUAGAAUGAUUGCCUUCUGUUUUGCAGUAAUUUGCAUGAGCUUCACUUUUCAAGUAGAGUAAAAAAAACAGGAAUAGAUAGACACAUUUCUUCUAAGUUUGAGUAGUGAGUGAUAACACUUCUAUGUAAUCCCUAAAAAAAAACACUUCUAUGUAAAAAAAUCACAUGGGAAAUCCAUUCCUAUAGUACACGUAAUUUUGAUCUGGAAGGUUGACUUUUCAACAAAAUAACCUAAAAUAAUUUGUUCAUAACAUAAUAGAGGAAUCUAGAAGUGUUCGCGGUGCGGUUUGAUUCGGUUUUGAGCAAAAAAGUCAUCCAAACCGCGCGAUAAAAAAACAUGUGGUUUGGUUCGGUUGAUUUUUAAAAAAUCAUCCAAACCAAACCAAACUAAACCAAUACGGUUUGGAUUGGUUCGGUUUGUGCGGUUUAUCGCGAGAUAAAAAAAAAAUAUUACAUUAACUCUAAUAUUUCCAAAUUGUUACAAAAUAAACAUAGAACGUUUUUUUAUUUAUUUUUAUAUGAUAAAAUAUUAGGUAAAACUCAUAUCAAAAUAGGUAAAAUUAAGAAGAAUUUAUAAGCAUGAAACAAAUUAUUGGAAAGUAAAGGAAACAAAUUUAAGUAAUAUUCAUUAUUCUUGCAGCUAUGUAAUUGGGCUAGAAACAUUUUAUUUUGAUGUUUAUAUCGAACAUGAUGGUGCAACAAUGGAAAAAUCAAAUCAAAAAAGAUUAUUCUUGAGCUAUGUAAUUGAGCUAGUACAUAUUUAAGUAAUAUUCAUUAUUCUUGCGGUUUGGUUUGGUUUGAUUCGGUUGCUGAGAUGCAAACCGCAAAUCAAACCAAACUGUAUGUUUUAGUGCAAAAGUCAUCUGAAUUCAUCCGAAAUCAAGUACGAUUUUUUACGAUUUUGAAUUGGUUUAAUUUGCCGUUUUUCUAUUGGAUUGGUUCGGUUUGAACGAUCUGCAUGAAUUCUUCUAGUUGAUUGUUGGACUAUUUUUAAUUGGCAAAGGCUUAGUUGUCCAUUUAUAAAUAUAAAUACUAUUAUUACAUUAUCCAAUCCAAUAGCACCAAAACCAAUAUAAUAAUGGUAAUUUGCAAUUUUGCACGUUUCAUUCAUUUAUUGGUGCCUUAAUUUUGGGUUACAGACCGACAUUGAUCAGUUGCUAAAAAACCACUGCAUCCUUAUUUUUUACGAGGUAGAUGCAUCGGACAAAUAAACCGACAAACAAAGCUAUUCAGAAAGUGCUCAGAAAUUUUUUGUGCCCCAACAGAAAAUAUUAAGAAAGUCUUGCUACACAGUGUCUUGUAUACAAGUGAAAUAUGUGUGGUAUUAUGCACAAGUUUAUUUUUACAAGUUGAUAUAAGAAUCUAAGUAUAUUUUUAUGGAAAAUUAAUGCUAACAAAUACUUUCAAAGCAUUGUUUAAGCAAUCAAUAUUAGUAACUUUUGCAUAGAAAUAUGUGUGAUUAUUAUUUUUUCAUAUGUUUUAUAUGUUUUCAAGAAAAUAUUUUUAUUUAUGGUUUUUUUAAAUAGUGUCCUUAGGUACUUGUUAGCAAAAUCUUAUUUAUAUAAGUUGAUCUAAGAAUCUCAUUAUUGUAUCGAGUGAGAUACGGCCAUACCGAAGCUUAUGGAUUCCAUAGUGGAAAAAUAACUUUUCAUCAGUGCAAUACUAUUUUAGUUGUAGAAUUUCUUUUCUUGUGUGUCCUAUUUCAGAUUUUAAAAUCCAAACAAUCGAAGGUUUAUGAAGGUUUUUCGAACAUUUUCGCACUGUUUGAAUUAUAUGAUCUGAAAUGUCAUAGAACAUGCGAGAAGCAAGUUGAAUGAAAUAAAAAACUCCUGCUCAAUAGAAUUAUUUUACUUGGUUAUUGUUUGAAUUUUAUUCUCCUUCAAAGACGGCAAUGUGCAAUUGUGCAUUUCAUCCGGAGAGUGGCAACAUCUCAUGCAUGUUCAUCUCAUAUAACUGAGAAGUCACAUGGCUUGGAAAAUCUUAAACCGAGAAAAACAAAAGGAGUAAAAGUAAUAAUAGUGAACCAAAGUGAAGAUGAACUUGUAGUCUAUCAAAAGAAGAUGAACUUGUUCGUCUUGGCAUAGUAACUCAUUUUUAUUCCUUGUUACCUAUGAAACACGGACAAUAGAUACAACACGGACACCAAUACGUUAAUACCGUUAAUAAUAUAAAAAAAUAGGUACAUUGAAUAAUUAAUGUAUUUGACCUAUAAAUGUGACCAGAUAUAUUAAUUAUUCAAUGUAUCUAAAAAGUUGGUUUUUGUUUAUAAAUAUGAUCAUAUGGAGUACUACUUUAGUGUAAUUUUAUGUAUUGGUACUGCGAGACAUCUAAUCUAAAGAGUGUCAAUGUUUUCACACAUAUUACUCACCAAAGUGCACACAUUAUAUGCAUUUAGGUAAACUGAGUUCAUCCAAAAUUGUAACCGCACAAACAGAGGGCCGCUAGGAAAUAUGAGGUAAAUUUGGAUUAUUCUUUAUCAAAAGCUUAUGACCAAAGAAAAACUAUACAAAAACUAAUGUUCAAAAAGUACAUAAAGUAAUAAUGCAAAGUCAAUGUGUAUAUAUAUUUCACCAUUAAAUAAAAGGGGAAAAAAAUCUCCAUACACAGCUUGCAAUAGCUACCAUCAUGGCCUAAAGCAAAUAUCAUAUGACCACUAAAAAACAAUAGAAAAUAAACAAAUAAAAAGAGAAAAACAAAAGAGAAAAUGGUAUAAAGAAAUCAUGUAGUAGUUAGUUUUUUCUCAAGAUGGGCAACUCAGCAGGGCUGCUAGGAGGAAAUUACAAAAGAACAUGACACUUAACUUCUCUAAUCAUUCAAAAUUUGUCAAGAUGCUGAUUAUAUAUUUUAAUUAGUAGUUAGAGAUUGUUAUAGUAACGUGUUCUAGCCAUCAAGAAUAAAACAAUGUCAUGGAAAAGAAGUGGCCUACUAGAAGAAUUAAUUUAAAGCAUUUACACCAAAAUAAAAACAAAUUGAAUAUUGGAAUUGGUCCUUCAUGAUAGCUUCCCCUUAACAACUAACUCUAACUAUAAAUACUGAAUCUUGCAUGCAACAUUUCAUAGUAAACACUAAGACCAAAACCUCUUCUUUCUAUCCAUGACUGCUAGGGCUAGUUGCCCCAAAAUGGGGCAUUUUUGGCCACAAAUGGCAAUGGCAUUGGCCAUUGUUUUGAUUUCUACUACUAUGGUUUCUGCUUCUGAUAGCUACAUUUACUCUUCGCCUCCACCACCUUAUGAGUACAAGUCCCCACCACCGCCGUCUCCCUCACCACCUCCUCCUUAUGUGUAUAAGUCACCACCUCCCCCAUCCUCGUCACCCCCACCACCAUAUGAGCACAAGGCUCCAUCUUAUGAGUACAAGUCACCACCACCACCAACUUCUUCACCACCACCUCCUUAUGUAUACAAGUCACCACCACCACCAUCUCCUUCACCGUCACCUCCUUAUGUGUACAAGUCACCACCACCUCCAUCCCCAUCACCCCCACCUCCUUACGUGUACAAGUCACCACCACCACCCUCGCCUUCCCCGCCCCCACCAUACUAUUACAAGUCUCCUCCACCACCCUCGCCUUCCCCACCGCCACCAUACUAUUACAAGAGUCCUCCACCACCCUCUCCUUCACCUCCACCUCCUUACUACUAUAAAUCGCCUCCACCACCCUCACCUUCCCCUCCCCCACCAUACUAUUACAAGUCUCCUCCACCACCAUCUCCCUCACCACCUCCUCCAUAUUACUACAAGUCUCCCACACCACCUUCACCCUCCUCUCCACCCCCAUAUAUACACAAGGAUCCACCAUACUAUUACAAGUCCCCACCACCCCCUUCACCAUCUCCUCCACCACCAUACUACUAUAAAUCUCCCCCACCACCCUCACCCUCUCCACCCCCACCUUACUAUUACAAGUCUCCUCCACCACCUUCACCAUCUCCUCCACCACCAUACUAUUACAAAUCUCCUCCUCCUCCAUCUCCUAUUCCCCAUACACCUUACUAUUACAAAUCUCCCCCACCACCUUCACCAUCUCCUCCACCACCAUACUAUUACAAAUCUCCUCCUCCUCCAUCUCCUAUUCCCCGUACACCUUACUAUUACAAAUCUCCCCCACCACCUUCACCAUCUCCUCCACCACCAUACUACUACAAAUCCCCUCCUCAUCCAUCUCCCAUUCCCCAUACACCUUACUAUUACACAUCUCCCCCACCACCUUCACCGUCUCCUCCACCACCAUAUUACUACAAAUCUCCUCCCCCUCCGUCUCCUAUUCCCCACACACCUUACUACUACAAGUCCCCACCACCACCAAAGGUCCUUCCACCACCAUACUAUUACAAUUCUCCUCCUCCACCUGUUGUGUAUCCUCACCCAUAUCCCUACCACCACUCACUUAUUGUGAGGGUAGUCGGUAAAGUCUACAGCUUCAGAUGUUAUGAUUGGAAUUAUCCUGCAAAGUCUCAUAACAAGAAACAUCUCAAAGGUACAUUACAUUUCUUAGGACCGGACCUCUUUAGAGUAAUGUGUUUAGAGAUAAUGCACAAUUUUUUAUUUUUUUAUCUCGUAAAGGUUUAUUUAUUAUAAUCACAAUUUCACUUUUGUCAAAAAGAAAAACAAUUUUACUAUAUAUAGUUUUAAUCAUUAACAUUUUGAUGUAAAAAGAAUACAAUUCUCUAUUACCUUUUUACUAUGAUAUAUAUACAAAGAUUAUUCAAAUCUAUAUAUCCAACCUAAUUUCCAUCCAAAAAAAUAGAAAACAUAGGGUGCUUUGAACGCCUGCAGCAUCACAUGAAUAAAUAAAAACAAUCAAUAAUCAACCUUGUUCUAAUUUAUUUUAGACAGCGAUUGUUAAGCAUACUGCUCUUUUAAUUACAUUUUUUUUAAAGAUGCUCUUUUAAUUAUAUUGUCCUAAUAUAAUAUGUGUCUUUAUAUAUUACUUGUCGUAAACUAAUUUUAUUAUGGGUGCAGGAGCUGUUGUUGAGGUGACAUGCAAAGCCGGGAGCAAAAUUGUCAAGGCUUAUGGAAAAACUAAGAACAAUGGAAAGUAUGCCAUCACAGUUAAGGACUUUGACUAUGUCAAAUAUGGUUCGACAGUGUGCAAGGCUACCCUUUAUGCUCCACCUAAGGGUUCACCCUUCAACAUACCUACAAAGCUAAAUCAAGGAACAAAGUUGUACUUGAAAUCCAAAGACAAGUACGAGGUUGUGCUCAAGGCUAAGCCAUUUGCUUAUGCUUCAAAGAAACAUUUCAAAGAAUGUGAGAAGCCUAAGCCUUCACCAACUCCUUUCUACAACUCACCACCUCCACCCGUCCAUUAUUACUCACCUCCAUAUUACUACAAGUCACCCCCUCCCCCUGUGAAAGCGGCACCAACUCCUUACUACUACAAAUCACCUCCACCACCCGCACCGGUUUACAAGUACAACUCCCCACCUCCACCAGUCCAUUAUUAUUCACCACCAUAUACCUACAAGUCACCUCCUCCACCUGUGAAAACGGCACCAACUCCUUACUACUAUAAAUCACCUCCACCACCCGCACCGGUUUACAAGUACAACUCCCCACCUCCACCGGUCCAUUAUUAUUCACCACCAUAUACCUACAAGUCACCUCCUCCACCUGUGAAAACGGCACCAACUCCUUACUACUAUAAAUCACCUCCACCACCCGCACCGGUUUACAAGUACAACUCCCCACCUCCACCGGUCCAUUAUUAUUCACCACCAUAUACCUACAAGUCACCUCCUCCACCUGUGAAAACGGCACCAACUCCUUACUACUAUAAAUCACCUCCACCACCCGCACCGGUUUACAAGUACAACUCCCCACCUCCACCGGUCCAUUAUUAUUCACCACCAUAUACCUACAAGUCACCUCCUCCACCUGUGAAAACGGCACCAACUCCUUACUACUAUAAAUCACCUCCACCACCCGCACCGGUUUACAAGUACAACUCCCCACCUCCACCGGUCCAUUAUUAUUCACCACCAUAUACCUACAAGUCACCUCCUCCCCCUGUGAAAGUAGCACCAACUCCAUACUACUACAAAUCACCUCCACCUCCUGCACCGGUUUAUAAGUACAACUCACCUCCUCCACCAGUCCAUUAUUAUUCUCCUCCAUACUACUAUAAGUCACCACCCCCACCAUCACCAUCCCCUCCUCCACCUUAUUAUUACAAAUCUCCUCCUCCACCGAAAGAGAUUUCACACCCUCCAUACUACUAUAAGUCACCACCCCCACCAUCCCCAUCACCUCCUCCACCAUACUAUUACAAGUCCCCCCCUCCACCAUCACCAUCUCCACCACCACCAUACUAUUACAAGUCACCACCUCCACCAUCUCCAUCUCCUCCUCCACCAUACUAUUAUAAGUCACCACCUCCACCAUCCCCAUCCCCUCCUCCACCAUAUUACUAUAAGUCACCAGCUCCACCAUCCCCAUCCCCUCCUCCACCAUACUAUUAUAAGUCCCCACCUCCACCGUCACCAG